rnacentral:rRNA from 1 species
AAACCAGCACCUCAAGUGGUCAGGAGGAUUAUUGGGCCUAAAGCAUCCGUAGCCUGCUCUGUAAGUUUCCGGUUAAAUUCAUUAGCUCAACUAAUGGCCUGCCGGAAAUACUGUAGAGCUAGGAAGUGGGAGAGGUAGACGGUACUCGGUAGGAAGGGGUAAAAUCCUUUGAUCUAUUGAUGACCACCUGUGGCGAAGGCGGUCUACCAGAACACGUUCGACGGUGAGGGAUGAAAGCUGGGGGAGCAAACCGAAUUAGAAACCCCAGUAGUCC